AGUCCACCGAUGUGCAGUUAACAGUGUGGGUGAUUGUACAAUUCUGCCGUGCUUAUAAUAAGAGCAGUGGAGUCAGACCAAGAAAAGUCUGCAGCGGAUUUGAUAGCCCAGGCAGUGCAAGUGUUAUUUUAAACGUCAAACUUCUAUGAAAUUAUGACGUAUAAAUAACACUUGCACUGCGUGGGCUAUCAAAUCCGCUGCAGACUUUUCUUGUGAUGUUAGUAGUGCCUUUAGUAGAAUUUUCCUUUUAUUCAACAACUACUAAUAAUGCUCUAAAGUCAUGCUGUCAGUUGGACAUAAUAAUGUCUGUUGGAAAGUUUCCAAAAUAGCGAAAUUUCUAUAAGGGAAAAUUUCGGAAACAUCUCUUAUUUUUGUAUGGGCAUUAAAUUUUUCCAUUUCCAAAAUGAAAGUUUCCGUAUUUCCUGUGAAAAUUUUCCCAUAAUUCCUGAGAACUUAUUCAGCAUUUUGAAAAAAAUCCGCAACUUGCACAUGUAGUUGGACGACCCUUGGUAAAGUAUGCAGACAAAGAAAGUGUCUCUCAAAUAAAUACUGAAGACCUGCGUUAUCCUACCUCGAUCCAUCAUAACUGACAAUAUUUUAUGAAAAUUUUAAGAGCACUAUUUUGUCAGGUAGAAGUGUUAUGUGGAACAUCAGAAACAUCGGUAUUUUUACAUUCUUAUAUGUAUGGAAACCGUAGGUAAACAGACUCUUGGUUCAUAUUUACACCCGAUUCAUAACGAUUAUAUGAGAGUUAAAUAUUUAUGGAAACACACAUUGUUGGAAAUCCCAGUUUUGAAAAAUAUUUUUAUACCUGUGUUACCAUAUGCACUUAAAUUGUGGUUCUUUGUUGAAGUUUGAAUAAUUUUAAAAUCAAAGCAAUAAUGUAUGAUAAUGCCAUGCCAACAAACGACAUGGUGUGAUUGUAACUGUAUAUUUUUAAUAAAAAAAUAUUAUAAA